AGCAGCCGCGGUAAUUCCAGCUCCAAUAGCGUAUAUUAAAGUUGUUGCAGUUAAAAAGCUCGUAGUUGAAUUUCGGGACUAAUUUACUGGUCGUGCUAUUGUACGUACUGGUUUUAUUGAUUCUUCCCUUCUGACGAACUAUGAUGUCAUUAAUUUGGUGUCUUAGGGAAUCAGGACUGUUACUUUGAAAAAUUAGAGUGUUUAAAGCAGGCUCACGCUUGAAUACAUUAGCAUGGAAUAACGGAAUAGGACGUUUGAUUCUAUUUUGUUGGUUUCUAGGAUCGACGUAAUGAUUAAUAGGGAUAGUUGGGGGCAUUAGUAUUCAAUUGUCAGAGGUGGAAUUCUUGGAUUUAUUGAAGACUAACUACUGCGAAAGCAUUUGCCAAGGAUGUUUUCAUUAAUCAAGAACGAAAGUUAGGGGAUCGAAGACGAUCAGAUACCGUCGUAGUCUUAACCAUAAACUAUGCCGACUAGGGAUCGGAUGAUGUUAAUUUCUUAAUGACUCAUUCGGCGCC
rnacentral:sRNA from 1 species